rnacentral:tRNA from 1 species
GGAGUAUAGUUCAGUGGUAGAGUGCAUGCUUAGCAUGCACGAGGUCCUGGGUUCAAUCCCCGGUACCUCCA